GAUGAACGCUGGCGGCGUGCCUAAUACAUGCAAGUCGAGCGAAGUUUUUCUGGUCCUGGCACUAUAACAACUUAGCGGCGCACGUGUGAGUCACACGUAAAAAACCUGUCUCAUAGUCUGGUACCUCUGUUGGACACGAUAUCUAAUACCGGAUUAUAGUGUUUCUCACAGUACAGUUAUUUAAAAGUUUUUUAUUCUAACUCUAUGAGAUAGCUUUGCGGUGCAUUAGCUAGUUGGUGGGGUAAAGGCCCACCAAGGCAACGAUGCAUAGCCGACCUGAGAGGGUGAUCGGCCACACUGGGACUGAGACACGGCCCAGACUCCUACGGGAGGCAGCAGUAGGGAAUCUUCCGCAAAGGGCGAAAGCCUGACGGAGCAACGCCGCGUGAGUGAAGAAGGAUUUCGGUUCGUAAAACUCUGUUGUUAGGGAAGAAUGAAUAUGUAGUAACUAUACAUGUAAGAGACGGUACCUAACCAGAAAGCCACGGCUAACUACGUG
rnacentral:rRNA from 1 species